rnacentral:rRNA from 1 species
GCUCGUGUCGUGAGAUGUUGGGUUAAGUCCCGCAACGAGCGCAACCCUUAUCCUAUGUUGCCAGCGCGUCAUGGCGGGGACUCAUAGGAGACUGCCGGGGUCAACUCGGAGGAAGGUGGGGAUGACGUCAAGUCAUCAUGCCCCUUACGUCUUGGGCUGCACACAUGCUACAAUGGCCGGUACAAAGGGCUGCGAUACCGCAAGGUGGAGCGAAUCCCAAAAAGCCGGUCUCAGUUCGGAUCGGGGUCUGCAACUCGACCCCGUGAAGUCGGAGUCGCUAGUAAUCGCAGAUCAGCAUUGCUGCGGUGAAUACGUUCCCGGGCCUUGUACACACCGCCCGUCACGUCACGAAAGUCGGUAACACCCGAAGCCGGUGGCCCAACCCUUGUGGGGGGAGCCGUCGAAGGUGGGACCGGCGAUUGGGACGAAGUCGUAACAAGGUAGCCGUACCGGAAGGUGCGGCUGGAUCACCUCCUUUCUAAGGAGCUUUCUGGCUGGGUGCCUUCUGUAGUGGAGGGUGUCUGGUCCAGAGCGAAGACCAGCUGGAUGGUUGGUCUGGGUGCUCAUGGGUGUGGAACGCUGACUAUGUUUCUGUCUGGUCUGGUCUGUUGUCCGGGGUUCCUGUGUGUUCUCUGGGUGGUGGGUUGUCUGGGUGGAUCGGUACGCUGUUGGGUUGUGAGGGAGUGAGUUGCCCUCGUGUACGAUCCUGCCUUUCUGCUGGCCCGUUGGGGCUGGUGGGAGGCAGGUUUGCGGGCUGGUUCGUCGUUGGG